rnacentral:tRNA from 1 species
GAGGGUAUAACUCAGUGGUAGAGUGCUUGUUUAGCAUGCACAGGGUUCUGGGUUCAGUUCUCAGUACCUCCA